UUUUAAGGGCAAAUUUGUCGAAAGACAAAGACGCAAAGCCACGGUGUCUAAACAUCAUUUGAUGCACGAUCGGCCGGCUGC
rnacentral:ncRNA from 1 species